GUGCCAGCAGCCGCGGUAAUACGUAGGGUGCAAGCGUUAAUCGGAAUUACUGGGCGUAAAGCGCGCGUAGGCGGAUUGGAAAGUUGGUGGUGUAAUCCCAGGGCUCAACCCUGGAACUGCCUCCAAAACUUCCAGUCUGGAGUUCGAGAGAGGUGAGUGGAAUUCCGAGUGUAGAGGUGAAAUUCGUAGAUAUUCGGAGGAACACCGAUGGCGAAGGCAGCCCCCUGGGUCGACACUGACGCUCAUGCACGAAAGCGUGGGGAGCAAACAGGAUUAGAUACCCUGGUAGUCCACGCCCUAA
rnacentral:rRNA from 1 species